GUUUUUCAUCUAACAUCGUGGAUGUGUAACGGCAUAUUUUCACAUGUCUGCUUUGUAAAAGUUGUACGCGCCUCAUGAGUGCGCGCAGGCCAAAAAGGUAGAGGAGAAAUAGCCUGGACUAUGAGCCUCGAGGAUCUGACUAUGACGAGAAACGUCCAGCAGAGGGAGACACAGGCUGGUAGAAGGCGACUGCAGGGCCCAGGGUCUGUCAGGCAUCCUCCGAGAUGAUUCAGAAGUCAUAAUGUUUUGGGGUGUUGUUUUCUCCUGCUUUUUCCUACAACGGCACAUAUGAACAGUAACAGAACCAUGUUUCACGUGAUUAUUCUACGACUUUUAUAAUCAGUUUUCACUGAGACAUUAAGUG